rnacentral:rRNA from 1 species
UGGGGAAUAUUGCACAAUGGGCGAAAGCCUGAUGCAGCAACGCCGCGUGAGUGAUGAAGGCCUUCGGGUUGUAAAGCUCUGUCUUUUGGGACGAUAAUGACGGUACCAAAGGAGGAAGCCACGGCUAACUACGUGCCAGCAGCCGCGGUAAUACGUAGGUGGCAAGCGUUGUCCGGAUUUACUGGGCGUAAAGGAUGCGUAGGCGGAUUUUAAGUGAGAUGUGAAAACCCUAAGCUUAACUUGGGGACUGCAUUUCAUACUGGAAAUCUAGAGUGCGGGAGAGGAGAAUGGAAUUCCUAGUGUAGCGGUGAAAUGCGUAGAGAUUAGGAAGAACACCAGUGGCGAAGGCGAUUCUCUGGACCGUAACUGACGCUGAGGCAUGAAAGCGUGGGUAGCAAACAGGAUUAGAUACCCUGGUAGUCCACGCCGUAAACGAUGAGUACUAGGUGUAGGAGGUAUCGACCCCUUCUGUGCCGCAGUUAACACAAUAAGUACUCCGCCUGGGAAGUACGAUCGCAAGAUUAAAACUUAAAGGAAUUGACGGGGUCAUAGCUGUUUCCU